AGUACUAACAUUGCAUAGUUCGUGUAGAAGUACCUCAACUCUUGCAGAAUAUUCUUGAAUUGUUUCCCCAAUUUUGUGUUUCGUUGUAGUUGAUUCCAAUUGUAGAUAUCCUGGAGUCCUUUUUGCACAAAAUGUCACUUCCAAUAGGCCUUUCAAUGCUUCCCAUGACUUCACCUCUCGGUGUUGUGUCGCUGCGAACGCUUUUCCUGCCAAUUUAGUUAAGAUUGCUUGUAGGAGAAUAGGACGACAAUCGUCACUAAUUGUUUUCGUUACAAAGUCACACGUGUUUAAAAAUGGGUACACAUCCUGCGAACAUUCCCCGUUAAAUUUGGGUAUAAGCUGUAUAGCUGUUUCGAGUGACAACACUGCUUUUUGUGCCAUUAUUUUAUUUGGUUUCAAAAUGGGAGUAUUAUCCUCUAAGUCUAAUGAAGAAAUUAUGGUACCUAGACUAUUGGAACGAUUACGUAAAUUUCGCGUUUGAGAUCUCGUUACCCUAAUAGAAAUGUUGGUCGAGUUUGAUCUAUUGAUUCGGGGUGGAAUAUAAUUAGGAUCUGAAUUGGCAGAAUCAGAAUUGCUAUCGUCGCCACUACUUGUAUAAGCUGACAUACCAUGGGAUAUUUAAUAAUUUAGUUUUAACAAUAUUUCUC